UACGUAGGGGGCGAGCGUUGUCCGGAUUCAUUGGGCGUAAAGAGCUCGUAGGCGGUUUGAUAAGUCGGGUGUGAAUCUCCAGGCUCAACCUGGAGAGGUCACUCGAGACUGUUAUGACUAGAGUCCGGUAGGGGACCACGGAAUUCCUGGUGUAGCGGUGAAAUGCGUAGAUAUCAGGAGGAACACCGGUGGCGAAGGCGGCUAUCUGGACAGAGUCUGACGCUGAGGCGCGAAAGCGUGGGGAGCAAACAGG
rnacentral:rRNA from 1 species